rnacentral:misc_RNA from 1 species
GAUGAAGAACGUAGCGAAAUGCGAUACGUAAUGUGAAUUGCAGAAUUCAGUGAAUCAUCGAAUCUUUGAACGCAUAUUGCGCUCUCUGGUAUUCCGGAGAGCAUGCUUGUUUGAGUAUCAGUAAACACCUCAACUUCCAUAUCUUUUUUGAAAUGGGAGUUGGACUUGAGUGAUCCCAACGCUUUUCCUCACCGAAAAGUGGCGGGUUACUUGAAAUGCAGGUGCAGCUGGACUUUUCUCUGAGCUAUAAGCAUAUCUAUUUAGUCUGCAUAAAAAACAGAUUAUUACCUUUGCUGCAGCUAACAUAAAGGAGAUUAGUUCUUGUGCUGACUGAUGCAGGAUUCACAAAGACAGGCUUCGGCCGACUUUGUAAACUCGAUCUCAAAUCAAGUAAGACUACCCGCUGAACUUAAGCAUAUCAAUAAGCGGAGGGA